AUAGUGUAUAAAAUGAGAGACGGUUAACACUCCCCUAGGUAAGGACAAAAUGUCCCCUGGGCCUCAACACACAUUCGGUUAAGGCACAACCGCUUACUUCGCGGCACUUAGCCACAUUUUUAA